rnacentral:rRNA from 1 species
AACGAACGCUGGCGGCAUGCCUAACACAUGCAAGUCGAACGAGACCUUCGGGUCUAUUGGCGCACGGGUGCGUAACGCGUCGGAACCUGCCCUUAGGUUCGGAAUAACUCCCCGACAGGGGUGCUAAUACCGGAUAAUGUCUUCGAACCGAAGAUUUAUCGCCUUUGGAUGGGCCCGCGUUGGAUUAGCUAGUUGGUAGGGUAAAAGCCUACUAAGGCGACGAUCCAUAGCUGGUCUGAGAGGAUGAUCAGCCACACUGGGACUGAGACACGGCCCAGACUCCUACGGGAGGGAGCAGUGGGGAAUAGUGGACAAUGGGCGAAAGCCUGAUCCAGCAAUGCCGGGUGAGUGAUGAAGGCAGUAGGGUUGUAAAGCUCUUUUAACCGGGAUGAUAAUGACAGUACCGGGAGAAUAAGCUCCGGCUAACUCCGUG